GACGAACGCUGGCGGCGUGCUUAACACAUGCAAGUCGGACGGUUGGCACUGGAAGGUUCGCUGGAAGGUGCUGAUAGUGGCGGACGGGUGAGUAACGCGUGAGGACAUGUCUGCAGGGAGGGGAUAACGUUUGGAAACGGACGCUAAGACCCCGUAAGCCGGGAGGUGAAAGUGGCGAAAGCCAGCCUGUGGAGUGACUCGCGUCCUAUCAGCUAGUUGGCGGGGUGAAGGCCCACCAAGGCGAUGACGGGUAGCCGACCUGAGAGGGUGGCCGGCCACACUGGAACUGAGAUACGGUCCAGACUCCUACGGGAGGCAGCAGGUGGGGAAUAGUUGGGCAAUGGGCGGAAGCCUCGACCCAGCGACGCCGCGUGGGGAAGAAGUCUUUCGGGAUGUAAACCCUUGUUGUACGGGACGAAGGAAGUGACGGUACCGUACGAGGAAGCCCCGGCAAACUACGUG
rnacentral:rRNA from 1 species